ACGGGAGGCAGCAGUAGGGAAUAUUGCACAAUGGGGGAAACCCUGAUGCAGCAACGCCACGUGUGGGAAGAAGCAUUUCGGUGUGUAAACCACUGUCGUGAAGGAAUAAUGCUGGACCUCGGUCCAGUUGAAUGUACUUUGAAAGGAAGCACCGGCAAACUUCGUGCCAGCAGCCGCGGUAAUACGAGGGGUGCAAGCGUUGUGCGGAAUCACUGGGCGUAAAGGGAGCGCAGGCGGAGAUGCAAGCGGUCUGUACAAUCCCGGGGCCUAACCCCGGACCUGCAGACCGGACUGUUUCUCUUGGAUAGCUCAGGGGCUGGCGGAAUUCCUGGUGUAGCGGUGGAAUGCGUAGAGAUCAGGAAGAACACCGAUGGCGAAGGCAGCUUGCUGGGGACUUAUCGACGCUCAUGCUCGAAAGUGCGGGUAGCAAACAGGAUUAGAUACCCUGGUA
rnacentral:rRNA from 1 species